UCCCAGGUGGUUUAGUGGUAAAGAAUCUGCCUGCCAGUAUAGGAGACUCAGGUUUGAUCCCUGAUUUGGGAA
rfam:Ovis aries breed Texel chromosome 13, whole genome shotgun sequence.